rnacentral:rRNA from 4 species
UUAAGCGACUAAGCGUACACGGUGGAUGCCCUGGCAGUCAGAGGCGAUGAAGGACGUGCUAAUCUGCGAAAAGCGUCGGUAAGGUGAUAUGAACCGUUAUAGCCGGCGAUGUCCGAAUGGGGAAACCCAGUGCAAUUCGUUGCACUAUCGUUAACUGAAUACAUAGGUUAACGAGGCGAACCGGGGGAACUGAAACAUCUAAGUACCCCGAGGAAAAGAAAUCAACCGAGAUUCCCCCAGUAGCGGCGAGCGAACGGGGAGCAGCCCAGAGUCUGAAUCAGCUUGUGUGUUAGUGGAACGGUCUGGAAAGUCCGACGGUACAGGGUGAUAGUCCCGUACACCAAAAUGCACAGGUUGUGAACUCGAAGAGUAGGGCGGGACACGUGGUAUCCUGUCUGAAUAUGGGGGGACCAUCCUCCAAGGCUAAAUACUCCUGACUGACCGAUAGUGAACCAGUACCGUGAGGGAAAGGCGAAAAGAACCCCGGCGAGGGGAGUGAAAAAGAACCUGAAACCGUGUACGUACAAGCAGUGGGAGCACCUUCGGGUGUGACUGCGUACCUUUUGUAUAAUGGGUCAGCGACUUAUAUUCUGUAGCAAGGUUAACCGUAUAGGGGAGCCGCAGGGAAACCGAGUCUUAACUGGGCGUUAAGUUGCAGGGUAUAGACCCGAAACCCGGUGAUCUAGCCAUGGGCAGGUUGAAGGUUGGGUAACACUAACUGGAGGACCGAACCGACUAAUGUUGAAAAAUUAGCGGAUGACUUGUGGCUGGGGGUGAAAGGCCAAUCAAACCGGGAGAUAGCUGGUUCUCCCCGAAAGCUAUUUAGGUAGCGCCUCGUGAAUUCAUCUUCGGGGGUAGAGCACUGUUUCGGCUAGGGGGUCAUCCCGACUUACCAACCCGAUGCAAACUACGAAUACCGAAGAAUGUUAUCACGGGAGACACACGGCGGGUGCUAACGUCCGUCGUGAAGAGGGAAACAACCCAGACCGCCAGCUAAGGUCCCAAAGUCAUGGUUAAGUGGGAAACGAUGUGGGAAGGCACAGACAGCCAGGAUGUUGGCUUAGAAGCAGCCAUCAUUUAAAGAAAGCGUAAUAGCUCACUGGUCGAGUCGGCCUGCGCGGAAGAUGUAACGGGGCUAAACCAUGCACCGAAGCUGCGGCAGCGACACUAUGUGUUGUUGGGUAGGGGAGCGUUCUGUAAGCCUGCGAAGGUGUGCUGUGAGGCAUGCUGGAGGUAUCAGAAGUGCGAAUGCUGACAUAAGUAACGAUAAAGCGGGUGAAAAGCCCGCUCGCCGGAAGACCAAGGGUUCCUGUCCAACGUUAAUCGGGGCAGGGUGAGUCGACCCCUAAGGCGAGGCCGAAAGGCGUAGUCGAUGGGAAACAGGUUAAUAUUCCUGUACUUGGUGUUACUGCGAAGGGGGGACGGAGAAGGCUAUGUUAGCCGGGCGACGGUUGUCCCGGUUUAAGCAUGUAGGCUGGUUGUCCAGGCAAAUCCGGAUAAUCAAGGCUGAGGUGUGAUGACGAGGCACUACGGUGCUGAAGUAACAAAUGCCCUGCUUCCAGGAAAAGCCUCUAAGCAUCAGGUAACAUUAAAUCGUACCCCAAACCGACACAGGUGGUCAGGUAGAGAAUACCAAGGCGCUUGAGAGAACUCGGGUGAAGGAACUAGGCAAAAUGGUGCCGUAACUUCGGGAGAAGGCACGCUGGUGUGUAGGUGAAGUCCCUGCGGAUGGAGCUGAGACCAGUCGAAGAUACCAGCUGGCUGCAACUGUUUAUUAAAAACACAGCACUGUGCAAACACGAAAGUGGACGUAUACGGUGUGACGCCUGCCCGGUGCCGGAAGGUUAAUUGAUGGGGUUAUCCGUAAGGAGAAGCUCUUGAUCGAAGCCCCGGUAAACGGCGGCCGUAACUAUAACGGUCCUAAGGUAGCGAAAUUCCUUGUCGGGUAAGUUCCGACCUGCACGAAUGGCGUAAUGAUGGCCAGGCUGUCUCCACCCGAGACUCAGUGAAAUUGAACUCGCUGUGAAGAUGCAGUGUACCCGCGGCAAGACGGAAAGACCCCGUGAACCUUUACUAUAGCUUGACACUGAACAUUGAGCCUUGAUGUGUAGGAUAGGUGGGAGGCUUUGAAGCGUGGACGCCAGUCUGCGUGGAGCCAACCUUGAAAUACCACCCUUUAAUGUUUGAUGUUCUAACGUUGGCCCCUUACCGGGGUUGCGGACAGUGUCUGGUGGGUAGUUUGACUGGGGCGGUCUCCUCCCAAAGCGUAACGGAGGAGCACGAAGGUUAGCUAAUCCUGGUCGGACAUCAGGAGGUUAGUGCAAUGGCAUAAGCUAGCUUGACUGCGAGCGUGACGGCGCGAGCAGGUGCGAAAGCAGGUCAUAGUGAUCCGGUGGUUCUGAAUGGAAGGGCCAUCGCUCAACGGAUAAAAGGUACUCCGGGGAUAACAGGCUGAUACCGCCCAAGAGUUCAUAUCGACGGCGGUGUUUGGCACCUCGAUGUCGGCUCAUCACAUCCUGGGGCUGAAGUAGGUCCCAAGGGUAUGGCUGUUCGCCAUUUAAAGUGGUACGCGAGCUGGGUUUAGAACGUCGUGAGACAGUUCGGUCCCUAUCUGCCGUGGGCGCUGGAGAAUUGAGGGGGGCUGCUCCUAGUACGAGAGGACCGGAGUGGACGCAUCACUGGUGUUCGGGUUGUCAUGCCAAUGGCACUGCCCGGUAGCUAAAUGCGGAAGAGAUAAGUGCUGAAAGCAUCUAAGCACGAAACUUGCCCCGAGAUGAGUUCUCCCUGAGACUUUAAGUCUCCUGAAGGAACGUUGAAGACGACGACGUUGAUAGGCCGGGUGUGUAAGCGCAGCGAUGCGUUGAGCUAACCGGUACUAAUGAACCGUGAGGCUUAACCUU